UACGUAGGGUGCAAGCGUUGUCCGGAAUUAUUGGGCGUAAAGAGCUCGUAGGCGGCCUGUCGCGUCUGCUGUGAAAUCCCGGGGCUUAACCCCGGGCGUGCAGUGGAUACGGGCUGGCUGGAGGCAGGCAGGGGAGAACGGAAUUCCCGGUGUAGCGGUGAAAUGCGCAGAUAUCAUAAGGAACUCCGGUGGCGAAGGCGGCUCGCUGGACCUCUUCUGACGCUGAGGCGCGAAAGCUAGGGGAGCAAACGGG
rnacentral:rRNA from 1 species